rnacentral:rRNA from 1 species
UACGUAGGUGGCAAGCGUUGUCCGGAUUUAUUGGGUUUAAAGGGUGCGUAGGCGGCUUUGUAAGUCAGUGGUGAAAUAUGGCAGCUUAACUGUCAAGGUGCCAUUGAUACUGCGGAGCUUGAGUACAGAUGAGGUAGGCGGAAUUGACGGUGUAGCGGUGAAAUGCGUAGAUAUCGGAAGGAACAUCAGUGGCGAAAGCGACUUCCUGGACCAAUACUGACGCUCAUGUGCGAAAGCGUGGGGAGCAAACAGG